UACAGAGGUCCCAAGCGUUGUUCGGAUUCAUUGGGCGUAAAGGGUGCGUAGGCGGCGCGGUAAGUCGGGUGUGAAAUCUCGGGGCUUAACUCCGAAACUGCAUUCGAUACUGCCGUGCUUGAGGACUGGAGAGGAGACUGGAAUUUACGGUGUAGCGGUGAAAUGCGUAGAUAUCGUAAGGAAGACCAGUGGCGAAGGCGGGUCUCUGGACAGUUCCUGACGCUGAUGCGCGAAAGCCAGGGGAGCGAACGGG
rnacentral:rRNA from 1 species